ensembl:lncRNA
UGACACGUGACUUGGUGCAACACGUGAAAUGCACUCUGAUCAGAUCAGGCGGGCUUUUUAAACAUGUCUCCGGUUUUUAACACGGCUCCGCUGUGAAGACUUCUUACGUGGAUUAACAGCCGGAGGUGCACCUGUCUGUUGUGGAAGUCCGAUGCUUCAUCAAGUGAGACCCCCUACUGUGGCCCUCACUGCCUCCCCGACAGGAGGGUCACAGUGACACAAGAGUGUUGGGCCAGAUGCCGAGUGAUCCCCUCUGAUGCACCUCCGCUUCCAAAAGCCACAUCCAUCGCCACUAUAGGACAAUCAGCCCUAGAACUCAUUGAAAUACCACACACCAAACCUGAAUUACCAGCAUUGCCCGCUCUCCUACUUGCAGUUUUUUUUUCUUCUUCUUAUUCUAUCAACAACAGCAAGUGUAAAUCUC